ACUAAUUUGGCAGAUAUAAUGCUCUUGACUUAGGUUCAAGUUAUACUUAAGUAGUAGUAGUUAGUU
rnacentral:tRNA from 1 species